rnacentral:lncRNA from 1 species
CAAUUUAUUCGUUGAUCACAGGUAAAAAAUUAAUACAUCGCAAUUUAUUUAUAGGUCACAAAUUACAAAUAUUAUAGGUCACAACUUAUCAGACAAUCGCAAAUUAUUAAUUUUUUAGGUCACAUUAUUUUUUGUCACAAAUUAUCUUUUAUAUUGGUCACAGAUUAACUAAUUAAAUGAUCACAUUCAACUAAUGAAUCUAUGACCACAACCAAACAACGACUGCCUCUCCACUACAGCACCGGCAAAACCAUAACACCACCACUGCCCACACAACACACCGCCAUCUCCUUUAUCACAAUCUACACAACACCAUAGCCACUACCCCUAGGUACCUACCAAAAAUCCAUAGAAUAGCCUCCACCAUCGCACAUUAAUGCCGCCUACACAUACUGCAAAAACAGCAAGUGGUGCUGUAUUCUCAAUGCAAAAGCCAGGCAAAUAAUGUCCAAAUCUUAGGCAGCCCAUCACAGCACCGCACCGACAGCAUCGUUUGAGCUUAGUGCCGGUAGCAUCGUGUACUGUAAUCUCAACUCAGAAGCCAAUCAAAUGGCAUCCAAAUCUCAGGCGAAUGGUGUCCACCACCUGUACCACCAACCAUUGUCACCACCACCGCACCGUCAACAUCACCACCAUCUCCAUUAUACUACAACCACUACACCCACGAAAAUUUCCCCAAACCAAUUGCN